rnacentral:rRNA from 1 species
ACGUAGGGGGCAAGCGUUAUCCGGAUUUACUGGGUGUAAAGGGAGCGUAGACGGCAAGGCAAGUCUGAUGUGAAAACCCAGGGCUUAACCCUGGGACUGCAUUGGAAACUGUCUGGCUCGAGUGCCGGAGAGGUAAGCGGAAUUCCUAGUGUAGCGGUGAAAUGCGUAGAUAUUAGGAAGAACAUCAGUGGCGAAGGCGGCUUACUGGACGGUAACUGACGUUGAGGCUCGAAAGCGUGGGGAGCAAACAG